rnacentral:rRNA from 1 species
AUGGGUGAGCGGAAGGUGCUGAACAAGUACUACCCGCCGGACUUCGACCCGGCGAAGAUCCCGCGGCGGAAGCAGCCCAAGAACAAGCAGAUCACUGUGCGCAUGAUGCUUCCCAUGAGCAUCCGCUGUGGCACUUGCGGGACGUACAUCUACAAGGGCACCAAGUUCAACUCGCGCAAGGAGGACUGCAUCGGCGAGACAUACUUGGGCAUACAAAUAUUUAGGUUUUACUUCAAGUGUACUAGGUGCUCAGCUGAGAUGACUUUCAAAACAGACCCUCAGAAUUCAGACUACACGGUGGAAUCUGGGGCUAGUCGCAAUUUUGAACCUUGGCGGAAAGAGGAUGAGGUUGUGGACAAACAGAAGAGAAAACGAGAAGAGGAGGAGAUGGGCGAUGCAAUGAGAGCACUGGAGAACAGAGCAAUGGAUUCAAAGCAGGACAUGGACAUACUUGCUGCUUUAGAAGAAAUGCGGUCUAUGAAGUCUAGACAUGCUGGAGUCUCCGUUGACCAGAUGCUUGAAAUUUUGAAGCAUUCCGCUCAUCAGAAGGAGGAAAAAACAGUAGCAGAACUAGAUGAAGAAGACGAAGAACUCAUCAAAUCAAUCACUUUUCGAAACUCAAAAGAUUAUGUUAAACGGAUCGAAGACGAUGAUGACGAUGAUGAAGAUUUUGGUAUACUAGGAAAGCCAAGUGUCAUGUUAAAGAUCAAUGGAUCUUCUGAAGCAGUGUUAAAUCCAACAGAUGUAUUGACCAAAGCUAAUGCACCUGAGAGUGCCAGUAAGGAAGGAAACAAGAGCUUUGCAUCUAAGAUGCCCAAAUUCAUAGUAAAACCAAAGCCCGCUGCUGCAACCGCAAAUCCUCAGAAGAAACAGAAGACUGAAUCCACAGCUGUCCAAGAUAACGGCAAAGCACCGGCCACCGAGGAAAAAAAUGAAGCUUCAGAAGGGAAGAAGACCAAUGUUCUUCAGUCCCUCUGCCAGUAUGAUAGCGACGAAAGUGAUUGA